UACGUAGGGUGCGAGCGUUAAUCGGAAUUACUGGGCGUAAAGCGUGCGCAGGCGGUUUGCUAAGACAGGUGUGAAAUCCCCGGGCUUAACCUGGGAACUGCGCUUGUGACUGGCAGGCUAGAGUACGGCAGAGGGGGGUGGAAUUCCUGGUGUAGCAGUGAAAUGCGUAGAUAUGCGGAGGAACACCGAUGGCGAAGGCAAUCCCCUGGGCCUGCACUGACGCUCAUGCACGAAAGCGUGGGGAGCAAACAGGAUUAGAUACCCUGGUAGUCCACGCCCUAAACGAUGUCGACUAGUCGUUCGGAGCAGCAAUGCACUGAGUGACGCAGCUAACGCGUGAAGUCGACCGCCUGGGGAGUACGGCCGCAAGGUUA
rnacentral:rRNA from 1 species